CCUACGGGUGGCAGCAGUGGGGGAUAUUGCACAAUGGAGGAAACUCUGAUGCAGCGCCGCCGCGUGAGGGAAGACGGUCUUCGGAUUGUAAACCUCUGUCUUUGGGGAAGAAAAUGACGGUACCCAAAGAGGAAGCUCCGGCUAACUACGUGCCAGCAGCCGCGGUAAUACGUAGGGAGCGUGCGUUGUCCGAAAUUACUGGGUGUGAAGGGAGCGUAGGCGGGCGAGAACGUGAAAUGUUAAGUCUACCGGCUAACUGGGAGUGGCGUUCAAACCUUCUUGUCGUGAGUGGAGUAGAGGCAGGCGGAAUUCCUAGUGUAGCGGUGAAAUGCGUAGAUAUUAGGAGGAACACCAGUGGCGAAGGCGGCCUGCUGGGCUUUAACUGACGCUGAGGCUCGAAAGCGUGGGGAGCAAACAGGAUUAGAUACCCCGGUAGUC
rnacentral:rRNA from 1 species